CUGCCGGUCACCUGCAGUCACCUGUGGUCCGGGAGCCGAUGAUCCUCCUUCGGACACAAGGUCAGCAGUAGCCUGAUGCGACAUCACGGUGCCUACGUCCUUCACCUCCUUCCUCUCGCCACGUAGGCCUCUUAUCAUCUCACGUCAACACAAGAAGGAAAAUGCAAGAAGCAAGAAGAGACAAGCAGGUUUCAUCCCAGUAGGCACCUGGCAGCGGCUUCUCACAGUUGGCAGCGAGUUUCUGGCCAAAACAAAAGCACGAUCCUAUGGUGAAAUGCAUUCUCUCAUCACACUCUCAGCUAACUAAACCCUGCAUCAACCUGAUUUACUGUUAAGCAACCUGACCUGGUGUAACCUCUGCCACAUAGCAACCUGUCGAAAUAUUUAUCGAAGGUUGUUAAUGCUUCUUGGAGCCCUCCAUCCCCGCCCCCCCCCCACAUCCCUUUUCCCCAGUCUCGCUUUUCAUGCUUCCUCACCAUCAAACCUUCACCUUCGGUGCUCAGAACAUAAGGGUGGAGGAUACCAUACUUGCUCCGGAGAUGAAACUGGAAAAUCAAAAUAUUUGUCCUGGCCAGCAAAGUAAAAUACACCAAACCCACUUCCAAAAAAAAAAAAAAAAAAAAAAAAAAAAAAAAAAAAAAUCACCCACGAGACAGACAUUUUAAACUGGGAAAUUCAAAGAGUUAAUGAUGUAUUUUUCAGGUUCCCAAAGUCAAAAUGUGCAACGUAAUGUAACGCGUACUGACAAGCUGCAUCUACAAACUGCAAAUUGCACAGGAGUGAGAUCACUCAAUUCCCCCCCCCCCCAAGUCAUACAAUUCGUACUUCCAGCAACCCCUUGAUUGGGCACUUGUCUUGUGUCGGGUUCGGGUAGUGGAUGGAGAACGGACAAGUCCCAAAACCUGCGUAGUGCAAAUCUACCUCACUGCACGCUUAGAGACAUAUUCCAUUCAGUUGAUCGUAGCUUUAUGCAUAAUCACCAGAACCUGGUGUAACCCAAAUGUCCUUCAACUGGGAAAUGGACACGGAAACUGAUAUACCAACACAACAGAAUACUACUCAGCAAUAAAAUGGAAUGAACCACGGACACAACCACCUGGAUGAAAUCUCAAAUGCAUUUUGCUAAAGAGAAAAGUAUCCGGAUGCAAAAAAGCUACAUGUUACAUUAUGUCUCUCAUAUGACCUUCUAGAAAAGGCAAAACUAUAAGGGGCAGAAAUCAGGUCAGUGGUUCUCAGAGCUCGGGGCAGGGGGUGACUCUAAAGGAACCCAAGAGAAUUACCGAUGGUGAGGCAUUUUUGUUGUUCUAGAUUUUGACUGGCAUAGCUGUAUAAGUGUGGCAAAACUCACACAACUGCCCCCUAUAAAAAACAGAUUUUACUCUUUGCAAAGUGUAGCUUAAUUGAAAAUAAAAUUCCUUCAAAACGAA